GACGAACGCUGGCGGCGUGCUUAACACAUGCAAGUCGAACGGUGAAGCGCUUUCCUUUUUGGUUGGUGUGGAUGAGUGGCGAACGGGUGAGUAACACGUGAGUAACCUGCCCCCUUCUUCUGGAUAACCGCAUGAAGGUGUGGCUAAUACGGGAUAUUCUGCGCCUGCUGCAUGGUGGGUGUGGGAAAGAUUGUGCCUUUGGGUGUUUUCGGUGGGGGAUGGGCUCGCGGCCUAUCAGCUUGUUGGUGGGGUGAUGGCCUACCAAGGCGGUGACGGGUAGCCGGCCUGAGAGGGUGGACGGUCACACUGGGACUGAGACACGGCCCAGACUCCUACGGGAGGCAGCAGUGGGGAAUAUUGCACAAUGGGCGCAAGCCUGAUGCAGCGACGCCGCGUGAGGGAUGGAGGCCUUCGGGUUGUGAACCUCUUUCGCCAGUGAAGCAGGCCUGCUCCUUGUGGGUGGGUUGACGGUAGCUGGAGAAGAAGCGCCGGCUAACUACGUG
rnacentral:rRNA from 1 species